rnacentral:rRNA from 1 species
GACGAACCGAGCGACCGUUGUUCGGAAUCACUGGGCUUAAAGGGCGCGUAGGCGGGCUGUCAAGUCUGGGGUGAAAUCCCGCGGCUCAACCGUGGAACUGCCUUAGAUACUGACGGCCUCGAGGGAGGUAGGGGCGAGCGGAACUGUGAGUGGAGCGGUGAAAUGCGUUGAUAUUCACAGGAACUCCGGUGGCGAAGGCGGCUCGCUGGACCUUUUCUGACGCUGAGGCGCGAAAGCUAGGGGAGCAAACGGG